UACGUAGUUAGCCGGGGCUUCUUAGUCAGGUACCGUCAUUAUCUUUCCUGCUGAUAGAGCUUUACAUACCGAGAUACUUCUUCACUCACGCGGCGUCGCUGCAUCAGGGUUUCCCCCAUUGUGCAAUAUUCCCCACUGCUGCCUCCCGUAGGAGUCUGGGCCGUGUCUCAGUCCCAAUGUGGCCGUUCACCCUCUCAGGCCGGCUACUGAUCGUCGCUUUGGUGGGCCGUUACCCCGCCAACUGGCUAAUCAGACGCGGAUCCAUCGUAUACCACCGGAGUUUUUCACACCGCUCCAUGCGGAGCUGUGCGCUCAUGCGGUAUUAGCACCUAUUUCUAAGUGUUAUCCCCCGGUAUACGGCAGGUUAUCCACGCGUUACUCACCCGUCCGCCACUAACCUGUAUAUCACUAGGUUUCAAUACAGAUCCGUUCGACUUGCAUGUGUUAGGCACGCCGCCAGCGUUCAUCCUGAGCCAGGAUCAAACUAC
rnacentral:rRNA from 1 species